rnacentral:rRNA from 1 species
GUAUGGUGCAAGCGUUAUCCGGAUUUACUGGGUUUAAAGGGAGCGCAGACGGGAGAUUAAGUCAGUUGUGAAAGUUUGCGGCUCAACCGUAAAAUUGCAGUUGAUACUGGUUUCCUUGAGUGCAGUUGAGGCAGGCGGAAUUCGUGGUGUAGCGGUGAAAUGCUUAAAUAUCACGAAGAACUCCGAUUGCGAAGGCAGCUCACUGGACUGCAACUGACACUGAUGCUCGAAAGUGCGGGUAUCGAACAGGAUUAGAUACCCUGGUAGUCCGCACGGUAAACGAUGGAUGCCCGCUGUUGGUCUGAAUAGGUCAGCGGCCAAGCGAAAGCAUUAAGCGUCCCACCUGGGGAGU